CCUGGAACCUCCCGGAAGAGGCAUUUGGGAAUCCUGGUUGCUGGCGUGGUUGCUAGGGGGCGGGGCCAUCGGAGAGCGCGUGCGCAUGCCAAUCCGCCCGCCCAGGAUCCCGCGCAAGCUGGCGGGUAGCUGCUCUCUGGAGUGAGGGGAGAUGAAACCCAGCGGCCUGAACCAGUUCAGGAGAGGCCUGUUUCCAGGCUCCACUCGGGAAUUCUUGAGGCAAACCAGGUAUCUGGCGUGGUCUCCGCUCACACCUGCGCAGAGACCUUUAUUCAUCUUGAAGUCAGAUACAGGAACACGGCAGCCUUCAUUGGCGAGAACUGUGGGUCGUAGAAUGAGAGGCACCUGGGAGUACUGGUUCUUGGAGAAGCCCGUGUUCAGACAAGCCGCGUGACCAAAUGCGGAUUCACCGUCCUCUCCUUUGCCGUCCCAAGCAUCAGAUCAUAUUGCGAGGGGGACCCCUCACCCAAAACAAUAGUCAGGUGGUUUGGACAGACCGCGGCCCCGCAGCCCUGGGGGGCUCAUAGGCCCAGGCCUGCUGAAAGGUUGCAUACUCCACACACGCGUGCGCUUGGAUGUUGAGUGCAUCUCCUUCUGUUGCCCAGCCCUCUCUGCCUCAGCCUGUAUCUGUGGCCACAUGUCAAGUUCCCGGAGACAGAGUUGACUGAGGAAGUAAAUUACUAAACCUGAUUUGCAGGCUAAAGAAGAAACAAAUGAAAGAAAAGCUGCAGGAGCUGUAAAAGAAUUUCCAACUCAUCAGGAGAGAUUCUGAGUUCACCUCCUCCAGGAAGGCUUUCCUGAAAUGCCAUCCCCACUGGGCUCUAUCACACCAUAUGUAACUUGACUGUCAUUGUUUCCCGAGCUAGAUGCUGAACCCCCAUUGGGACUGUGAAGAUAUUGUGAAUGUUUUUGGUGAUCAGAGCAGAAGAGAUCCAACAGUGGGAUGAGGUGAGGGAGAAAAGAGGACCACUGCUGGAUGGUUGAGUGGACACUAUAAGGACUCCUCCCAAAGAAUCAGCCUAAUGCCACUCUUCCCUGCUAACAAGCUGUGGUUCCAUCCUCUACCUUCCAGAGCUGACUAAAGCUAAUGGGGCCUGUGAUUGUCCUAGCCCAUGUUUCUUCCGUUGAUUUUCACGGUUCUGAAGCAUGAGAUUACCGGCAGCCACUAAAUACAUGCUUCCAUUAUGCCAGAAAUUUUGACAAGUGCUUGUAUUUGAAGGUUAAUGCAUUCAAGACUUACUGGGAAUUUCUCACUGAUAAAAGCUAUGUCUUCCAUGACUCCUGGCAUGAAGAGUAGCUACAGAGAAGACUAAAGCCACCUGACUUUUCCCUGUAUACAUCGCUUCCUUUUCUAAUUGGAUGAGCAAACACCUCUUUCUUCAGCCUGACUCACUGCUUCUGGAAUGAGAAAUGAGGAAGUCAGAAUUGGUCUGCCUCACAAUUGCUGUGUGGAUGGAGUAAGUGGCAUCUUCCUGGAAGAACUUUAUACUGGAGAACAGUUGAAGCUCACCAUUCUGGGACCCCAGGUAGGUUUGCCCAGAACUGGAACAACUCUUAUUUGCUGUUUAGUUUCCUGUCCAUUCCUUACCACCCUGGAGGACUAGUACUGUCCAGAAUGGGAAUAGAACAAGGCAUCUGCUUCUUGGCCAUUAGCAAUUUUCUGUUUCCAGAGGCUUGAUGGGAUUCACUUGUCUUCAGAAUAUUACAAAUGAUGUAUUUAUAGGAGAGAGUUGGGAUCAUUCUGUCCUAAUUUCAGGAGGGACUUCAUUUUUCACACUUGGAAGCUACUCAUUUGUCAUGGUGAAUGAGUUAUUUGAGUUUUUUAGGAGAUUUUAUUUUCUAGAGCCUCAAUAUAUCCACCAUAAUGAUAUCAUAAAAAGCAUGUUCACUGCCUUAAAACCCUUUGGCUCCACCUAUUCAUUCUUCCUAUUCCACCAGCCCCUGGCAAUCACUGUUCUUUUUACCAUUUCCAUAGUUUUAUCUUUUCCAGAAUGUCAUAUCGUUGGAAUCAUACAGGAUGUAGCCUUUUCACAUUGGCUUUUUUCACUUUGUAAUAUUCAUUGAAGAUUCCACCAUGUCUUUUUAUGGCUUGAUAGCUCAUUUCAUUUUGGUGCUAAUAUUCCACUGUCUGGAUGUACUACAGUUGUGUUUUACCCAUUCAAUCAAGACAUCUUGAUUGCCUUCCAAGUUUUGUCAGUUAUUAAUAAAGCUGGUAUAAACAUCCAUGUGUGGGUUUUGGGGUGCACAUGAGGCUUAAGCUCCUUCAGGUAAAUACCAAGGAGCAGUUAUUGGAUCCUAUGGAAAGAGUGUUUAGUUUUGCAAGAAACCACCCAACUGUCUUCCAAAAUGACCAUAUGAUUUUGUGUUCUCACCAGCAAUGAAUGAGAGUUCCUGAAUAUGGUGUUUCAGUGUUCUAGACUCCAGUCAUUAUAAUAGGGGUGUAGUGGCAUCUCACUGUUGUUUAAAUUUGCAUUUCCCUGGUGACAUAUGAGGCUGAAGAUCUUUCAUAUGCUUACUUCCUACCUGUAUGUCUUCUUUGAUGAGAUUUCUACUAAGGUCUUUGGCCUAUUUUCAAAUUAGGUUGUUUAUUUUCUUAUUGUUUAGUUUUAAGAUUUCUUGGUAUACUUUAGACAGAUAGUUUUUGAACAUGUACAUUAAUUGUCAGCUCUCUCAGUGUAAUUCUCGCUAUGUGGCAUUGUUGGAAAUAAUUUAGCAAAACAACGGAUUAGGAAUAAAUCUCUAGAUUUUUCUCCCUAAUAGGAAUUAAAAGACUUUGGCAAAUUGGUAAAAGGUGAAAAGAAAAUUUUGUAAAACUGACUGGCUCAGUCAGUUAAGCUUCCGACUCAACUUCC